CGCCUCUCCUCCGCGGUUGUUUUUAUACGGCCAUAGAGACAGACGGGCACAUGUCUGUGUGUGUACACACCGAGAGGUUUGUUUAUUUUUUUGUUGAUCAAAGCCACGUUCAUCACCGGGCGGUCCUUUCCAUCACACAAUGCUUUUGCAACAGCACUUCAGUGCUCUCGGGCACUGGUCCAGCGCUCAUCGGCACUGCAGUGACCGCCAACCGCCACGGGCCCCACUGCAGCACCAGGUCCGGUGUGAGGCUCCACCAACGCGGGGCUGAAAUGGACCUCCGCCUCACCGCCCUGCUGCACAGUGCCGGAACAGGACCUCCGUAUCAGUGUCUUCCUGCAGAAUGCACUUCCACCAGGCCUGACGCAAUACGAUUGUGGACACACGGGCCACAGAUGUAGCUUCUUUUUGUUUAAUAUCUUGAAAUUGCUGGAGAGUCACACUCAUCCCAACUCUGGAGCUACAGGCAGAUUUCAUUACCUGAGCUUCAACUCCCAAGCCGAUGGGACUCUUCUGCUCCAUGACAUCGUGAUGAAAGCAGACGGGAUGGGUCUCUGGGCGCAGCAUCACCUCACAGUGAUCAUUUUUUAGGGUCGUGUCCAUGGGCUUCUCUUUGUUUUAGAAGAAUAGUAUUUAAAUUUUGCAGAAAGCACGUUGGUUUUUUUGGCUUUUUUUUUGCAUCACAAAAUUGUUUAAUUCUGAGAAAACUGUGGGCCUUCAAUCCGUUUGCUUAAAGAAGACUAAAUUGCAUGAAGAAACUGAAGUCUCUAGAAAGCUAGGUAACAUGUUUGUAAUUGCAAACCGCUCAACCUUUAUUUCUGUAAUAAUUUUGAUGGCAAAGUGGACAACUUUCUCUUCUCAGCACUGGUGUGUAGGCUUUAAAGAUGCAGUAAGUUUAUGAAGUCCAACAGCAGAAUUUCAGAGAAGGUUGUUGUCAAGGAAGACAUGAGCUGUUUGCUGAAGGUUGGGGAAGAGGUAGCGAGAGAUUCACUCGCACCUUCCUGUGUUAUCAUCUCAGAUGUGCCUGUGCUUCUAAAGGAGUUUAACCUCUCGGUACUUGGAAGGACUUAUUUCCUAGUUAGGAGCAGAUAAGGAGUAACAGUGGGUGGAGGAAGGGGGAAUGGGAGCAUGCACAUAACCUGAGGCAGAAGGAAAGCCGAUAAGGGACCUCAUGUAGAGGACUACCCUGAAGAAGGACGUGGGAGGGGCUGCAAAACAUCCACGAGAUAGCAACAGGAAAUAUAAGCCCAGAAACGAGGGAGGGAAAACCCCUCAAGACUGCCUUGUUUGGCCCACAGAAACUGCAAACACUGCCUUCCCAUCCAUCUGCCGAGCAGCGACAACAUGCUGAGCUGAAGUCAUCUGGCUGAAGGUUUCUGUGGUCUCCUGUUCACCAAAUGUUCAGUCACAACUCCAGCGUGCCAGGCUUUCACUUUCGAUUAUCACGCACUGAACUUGUGAUUACCUGCGUGCAUGUUCUGCACUGCAGAAUCUGCAAAGUGCAUUCUGGCAGAUGUAUGCUGCAAUAAUUCUACCCCUUCCAUUUUGUUCCAUUUUCUCUUCCUUCACUAUGGCCCCAGCUCAGUGAACACCUCACAAGCCCGCACAGGGCAUUACUUCGUGCUGCCACUUUCCAUGGUUUCGUCACCUCAACUUCUGGGAAGUCUUUUUACAGCCAUAUUUAUAAGGCAUAUCCUUAAAAUAGCUGAAAUUACUUGUAACAGUGAGUACUCCGCCUACUAAGCACAUACAAGCAAAUAUUUGCAAUAACUGGACCGGUGUUUGCACAGCACCACGCACACCGCCUGGACUCCAUAAAUAAUAAUACUUGGCACUCACAGAGGGGUUUCCAUUUUCAAAGCACUUUAGUCAUAACCCUUGACACCUAUAUGGCCUUUUACAUCUUUACAAGAAUUAAUUAAUCCUCGCAGUGUCCUGUGAGAUAGGUAUGUGUUGCAGUAAUAACAAUAACAACAAUUAAUAAUUCAUGCAUUCUACUCGAAAAUCACUUCAGGGAUUAAAAUGCGUCUGUAAUACUAGGGUUUUUUUUUUAUUAACAUUUUCCAGCAAAUAAUAAAACCCAUGCUAUUGUGUUAAAUCUGUAUAUUAUCUGACCAUAAAUCUUCUACAGACUGGGACGAAGCUAAAGGCCGAGUGAGAUGCCAGAACAUCAGCAGGAAUUAGAUUACCGAGUUCAGAAAAGCAAGCUCGAGCCAGGUCCACCACGCAGCUUAGGUGCCAGAAUGAAACUUCCCAUGUAUGGCAGUGCAUAAAUAAAUACGAGCAACCCAGGAAUGUUCUUCGUUCAUUUUUAGCUCUUGUUUAUGCAAAGACUCUCCUGGUUACAGCAUGCAUUGUAUUACCCUCUGCUGCACGAACACAGCCCCAGUGAUACGCUCUUACUGGGUGAGAAAUGACAGUGACUCAGCAGCACAUUGUGCAACAGGGAGACCAGGGACAAGUCUGGCCAAUACUGGGGCAAACUUUUCCUCCUAAAAAUUACCAUACUGCCUUUGAUAUGCAGGCAAGUGCCAGUUAAACCUGUUAUUUAAACAAGUGGGGCUGAAAUCUUGUUGGCUUUAAUAGAAGAAAUGAACUGCUCCCACUGCAUCUGGCUGUGGGUUUGCUGGCAUAAGAGGACGGUGCCUAUCAAGGGAAAAGGAAGCUCACCACUUGGAGAUCCUUGAAGCAGCCAUUAGCCACAUGGUCACAGCAAGGCUACAUUCAUGGCAGAGUUCUAACUCCCAUCUCGCAUCCUGCAAUGGCCAAGCAAAUCCAAACUUGUUUUAUUUUAACAACAUUACAAAAAAGGGUGCGGUACUGGCAGCUAUCACACACCUCUGAAGUUUCAAGCGAGACAUACCUGGCUGCAGCUUGAGAUCAAAAUGGAUUAUCUCAUGGCACCAGGAUGUGGUUGCAAAAAUUCAGUGUUUUAAGUGUCAUGGCGAUUCAUAAAACAGUCUACACUAUGUGCUACAAUUGCUAAAUAAAAGUACAAGCACAAAGGGCGCAAAAUCUACUAGAUAUUUACCUUUAUCACUAUCACAUCAUAUUUUAAUAUUUCCUGGCAGCACAGGAAUGCAGCCAAUUUGAAGAGGAUUCUUUUUUCUUACCAACACUUAAGCUCCUGCUUUUCUCUCGUUAUACCUACGUUGUUCUCCUCCUCCACACGAGCAGAGGACUGGGAGCCAGGACUGUUUGCUCUCUAAUCAGAGUCCUGAAAGGCUCCUCAUGUGGCCUUCAGCAAGCUGUUUAUUAUCAGUGCAUGAGCUUCCAUCUAUAAAAAGAGAGGACUAACACAGCUACUAAUGAUGAUGAUAUUGUUAACACAUAAUUAUCUAUCUCACAAGAAAAUUGGGAGGGUAAAUUAGUGUUUAUUAUAAAGUAUUUUAAAGAUGGUGAUAUUAUUUAUAGGAGGGCUAUACUUUAUGUACGGAGGACAGCAAUUGUGGAAAACCACCUUCUAAUUAGGUUUUGCUGUUGAUAUCGCCAAAAAUAUCAAUCUGUACUUUCAAAAGUCCUUGACUUUUCUAUUUCUUAUGUUAUAGACAUCAGAUGUUUUCUUGUAAAUAGCUAUAUCCACAUAUAGAAUACCUUAAGCAUUAUCUUCUGAUAUAUUAAACAUAAAGUGAACUAUAUGGUAUGGCCAAAGCACGCCCUGCAGUACGUUAUUAGGCACCUCGCUCCAAUGACUGAAGCCACUGCGAAGUCAAGAAGAGGUAGGUUGCUUUUUUUCCCCCUUCCACCCUUCCCACCCCACAAGCUGGAAUUUCAGCCUAGACGUUCACUGCUCUUCACGUGCUUAACACCUAAAGCACACCCUAGCGUGGUUCAGGCUUUGUUUUAUACAGCCCUUUAGCUUUGAAAUGGUGCGUGCAGGUACUUAUCUCUGAUGCAUGGCAUCAACACGGGUCCAGCGAUAAGGAUUACGUUGCCUGAGCCUCCUGAAUUUCCCCUUUUUUGUCAAUUAUCUACAUUUUGUGGAACAUUCCUUUCUUUCAGCUUCAUUCUUGAGGACUUGUGAUAACGUAUCAUACUCCUCUGAACCAGUCGUAAUCUUCACAACCUCUGAUGCACGCUGACAACAUUAACUGUGAGCCGCUGCAGUAGAUUAAGCAGCAUAUUUCCACAAAACAUUUCCAAUACAAGACCAAAUUUUAUGAGCUAUGUGAGCAUUCUGUGUAACAUUUCUAGCAGGUACAUAAAACACUCCAGGGUAUAUACGGAAAGACAUCUGACCAGUGCCGUGUGUAUUAGAAAUAGCUUUCCAUCUUUCACAGUGCUAGAUGUGUGGCAUAACAUGAGAUCAACAGACAGGGAAGAAAAAAAAAGGACAGAAACAAAACCAAAGCACAUGGUGGAAGAAUGAACGGAGAAUUAUUUCCUCAGCUGAGCCAAUAUUUCCUACAACACGGCUUUCUGUGAGUCAGCGUUUUUGUGUCACAGAACUUAAAAUAGCACAAGUGAGAUAACAGUAGGCUUGUUGGAAGUAGAAAUUUGCAAGGGAUACAGUAAGGAAAAAAGAGAACAAGUUUAUAACUAAGAAAGUGGAGAUGAGCAUGGCAGUGAUCUGUUGUUAAUAAAUGACUAACAAAUAAUCCUAAAAAGAUGGUGUUUAGCUGAGAUUGUAAGACACGGAAAAUUCUAGGGUAGGGAUGUGGGAAGUCCACAGCCUGGAGAUUCAGCAGCUCCCCGCCCUUCUUACUGCACUAAGGGCAGAAAGUUCAGCAUCACCAUUCCUCUCUUCUCCCUUGUGUGCCCUUGCACACAAGCCAGGGUGGUUUCAUCCCAGCCCCAGAACCUCCUUUAAUUUUGCUUACGUUGCUGAGAAGCCCUGGGCCAGAGCUGGCGGAGAGGAACCUCAGGCGAAUUCCUCACUGAUUUCACACAGCUCAGGACAGGGCUUAACAAAUGUAUAGAGGAGGAGGGAGAACAUUUCUAGAGGCACAGGGAAGCAGGGGAUGGGCUGGCAAUUAUGCAGAUUUGUUGGCUGCAUCCCAGCCCUUGGUGGUUCUUCAAGGGCUGUGCCUGCUUUUGAGGCCAAAAAUUAGUCUAAUGCCUGGAUGAAAAGCAUCUCUCACCAAGCCCAUCAGCUUCCCCAUUUGCUUACAUAAUGCACAGCACACCCAGAUAAAAGAAUUCCCACUGGGAGCAGGGAUCAUGUGCCCACUUGCCGUUCUGCACCGCCAGGAAUAAGCAACGAACAUGCAAAGGGGGGACCCACAUCACAGCCUGUACAAAAA